CGCCUUAGGUGGCCACGCCCCCUCAUGAAUAAUUAACGCCGGACUGCCGUUGAGCCUCCAUUUCAGAGCUCAGCGCCAUGAGGCGGCUCGGUCCGUGCGGUUCCCAGCUCCCGCAGCGGGCCGAGGAGCCCUGCCAGGGUUUUCUGGUGGCUGCGGAUGCGUGCUGCCCUCGUCUCGGCCCCAAAUUGCAGCGGGUGGCUGCUGUGAGGCCCAGUUGCGUCCCCCAAACGCACCACGGCCGUCUGGAAACCCGCAUCUCUCGGGGGGGGAGGGCGGCUGGAGCCCUGGGGAGGCGCCUUGCUGCUGCUCCUUCCCAUACGAUGGCAGCAGAGGGCUGCGGCUGCUUUAGUGCUGUUCUCCCAACGUGCUGACACGAACGCGGCAACAUGGAUGGGAUUUGUGCAGAGGAAUUUAAAGAAACAAAGAGAAAUGGAAACAAGACAAAAUAGAUGCAGCGUUCAGCCCCAAACAGAUGGGAACCUGUCAGCACAACAUGGAGAUAAUUAUCCAUUCGAGCCAUGGGAAGCUUCAUGGCUGAGAGGAAGUUAUUGCAGCCAAUACAGCUCUGCUUUAUCAUCUUAGCAGGUUUUUUUUGGACAGAGCACGUUGCAGUGAAGGGAGCCCAGAGCUGGAGGUGGGAACCAGAGCUCUCAGGCAACAGCAACAUGAGAGCUGGGUUUGAAUGGAACAAACCAACUCUUCCAUGGCAGAGCCACGUGCAAAGGAAAUGCAGGAGACCCCUGCUGACUCAUGGGUGUGAGCUCCGAGCACCCAGAGCUCAUGGAAGGUAGGAUGGGUGGCACAGCACGGCGAGCUGAGCGCUCCCUGCCAGGACCCCAACCUCUGCCCAGGGCAUCACUGCAGGCACAACCUCACUGCUCUGCCCCACACUGACAACACAGAGCACAGCCUGCUUGGUUUCUUUGCUUUAAGGAGGAAAAAAGAAAAAAAAACUCACAAAUGAACCCCUCAAAAUAAAGCCUUUCUGACUGCAGGCACUCAGAACUUGACGUCUAUCCCGCAGUGCACUGCACGUGUCUCAAUCAUUUCUAUGCUAUGGCACUUGGAUGUUGUUUUUUCUCCACCUGAGUAUCUGAUCCUCUUUGGAACCCUUUUAAGAUUCUGGCUGCAGCGAUGCAGCAGUGAUUUAUACAGCUCCAUUGCACUCUGUUUAAAGUCUCUUUUCUUUUAAGCAUGCAGCAUUGCGGAUGUGUUGGAUGUUACCUCGCAUCUUAGAGACUGUAGGGGAAGAGGAACACCUAUAAAUCUUGUUGUUGUUGUGUAUGCAUGUCAAGAAAAUCACUAGAAAUAAGGCCAUUAUUUGAAAAGGUGGAAAUGCAGAGAAAAUUCCUUACCAGCUCAUAACCAUCCGGGGCAAAAAGUAAAUGACAGCAUUCCUCUGAAUUGUUUCUACUUCAGGGAAACGGGGGAACAAACCACCUUCCCAUCGAAAGCUUUACUUGGAAAUAAGGUUUAUCUUCAAAAUAUGUCUAAAGAGAGACUGCCUGGGUCGUAACAACUUGGCACGACCCAGCCUGACUUACCCUGUAAAAGCAUUUGCUGCCUUUAUGCCAUAAUAAGAUGCAGCGAAAGUCUCCCUCGUGGCUACGUAUGAGGAAGUAUAAUCUAGGGUCUAAAUGCCACAAAGCAUCCAUAUUUAUCUUUAAUGGCUAUAUAAAUUCAGCAGAUGAGAAGGAAAACAUUAAUUAGACAGACCCUGCCUUUGGCAGCGAUCACCAUCGGUGACAGCUGAACCAGCCAGUGGAUGAAAUAUGCUUCAAAGAUGAUAUCAGAAUAAAUAACAGAGGAUCAAAAGAUAAGGGAAAAAAAAA